UACGUAGGGACCAAGCGUUGUUCGGAUUUACUGGGCGUAAAGGGAGCGUAGGCGGCAAUUCAAGUCAGCUGUGAAAUCUCCGGGCUUAACUCGGAACGGUCAGCUGAUACUGCUUUGCUAGAGUACAGAAGGGGCAAUCGGAAUUCUUGGUGUAGCGGUGAAAUGCGUAGAUAUCAAGAGGAACACCAGAGGUGAAGACGGGUUGCUGGGCUGAUACUGACGCUGAGGCUCGAAAGCUAGGGGAGCAAACGGG
rnacentral:rRNA from 1 species